rnacentral:rRNA from 1 species
ACUACGAGUUUGAUCAUGGCUCAGGAUGAACGCUAGCGGCAGGCCUAAUACAUGCAAGUCGAACGGAUAUAUGUUUUUCGGAAUAUAUAUUAGUGGCGCACGGGUGAGUAACACGUACAUAACUUGCCCUCAAGCGGGGGAUAGCCUUGGGAAACUGAGAGUAAUACCCCAUAGAAUUAUUGGACGGCAUCGUUUGAUAAUUAAAACUACGGUGUUUGGGGAUAGAUGUGCGUCUGAUUAGCUAGUUGGUGAGGUAACUGCUCACCAAGGCGACGAUCAGUAGGGGGCGUGAGAGCGUGGCCCCCCACACGGGUACGUGAGACACGGACCCGACUCCUACGGGAGGCAGCAGUAAGGAACAUUGGUCAAUGGAGGGAACUCUGAACCAGCCAUGCCGCGUGAAGGAUGACGGCCCUCUGGGUUGUAAACUUCUUUUGGAUGGGGCGAAAAACGGGAUUUAUCCUGGACUGACGGUACCAUCAGAAUAAGCACCGGCUAACUCCGUG